rnacentral:rRNA from 1 species
AACGAACGCUGGCGGCAGGCUUAACACAUGCAAGUCGAGCGCCCCGCAAGGGGAGCGGCAGACGGGUGAGUAACGCGUGGGAAUCUACCCAUCUCUACGGAAUAACGCAUGGAAACGUGUGCUAAUACCGUAUACGUCCUUCGGGAGAAAGAUUUAUCGGAGAUGGAUGAGCCCGCGUUGGAUUAGCUAGUUGGUGGGGUAAAGGCCUACCAAGGCGACGAUCCAUAGCUGGUCUGAGAGGAUGAUCGGCCACACUGGGACUGAGACACGGCCCGGACUCCUACGGGAGGCAGCAGUGGGGAAUAUUGGACAAUGGACGCAAGCCUGAUCCAGCCAUGCCGCGUGAGUGAUGAAGGCCCUAGGGUUGUAAAGCUCUUUCACCGGUGAAGAUAAUGACGGUAACCGGAGAAGAAGCCCCGGCUAACUUCGUGCCAGCCGCCGCCGUAAUAC